GGUACAAUUAAAGGAAGUUGCAAUUAUAGUGAUUAUGCUUGAAGACUCGGACAAUAUUUUUUUUUCACCGAGCUACUUUCCUCGAUGGACGCAUCGGCGACAAUCUCGAUUGGCCGGAUUAAACCGAGAAGGAAUAAAAAUCGUGGAGAGAAAGAGAGAACCUCUUCGAAAUACGGCGCGUAAUCGAGGGAGGAGAAGAGCAAUCGCAUCGAAGCUUAACGAUAAUCGAAAGCAAUCCAAGCAUUCGUUAUGUUGUUUCUCUGCAAGAAAAUUGAGCGAAGGAAGGGAGCGGUAACGAUGUUUAGUUUAGGAAAGUUGUAUUACUCUCACGAUUAAAUCGUUUGCUACAGAUA